rfam:beta proteobacterium KB13 scf_1106380163076 genomic scaffold, whole genome shotgun sequence.
UUUGGCGGACAUAGCGAGUUGGAACCACUCCUUCCCAUUUCGAACAGGACAGUGAAACGAUUCAGCGCCGAUAAUAGUGUGAUCUUUUUCAUGCGAAUGUAGGACACCGCCAAAC